rnacentral:rRNA from 1 species
UCGAGAAUCUUCCGCAAUGGACGAAAGUCUGACGGAGCGACGCUGCGUGCGGGAUGAAGGCCCUUGGGUUGUAAACCGCUGUCAGAGGGGAUGAAAUCUUCGGAGGUACUCCUCCGAAGUUGACAGAGCCUCAAAGGAAGCACGGGCUAAGUACGUGCCAGCAGCCGCGGUAACACGUACUGUGCGAACGUUAUUCGGAAUCACUGGGCUUAAAGGGUGCGUAGGCGGCGAUUCAAGUCAGGUGUGAAAUGCCUGAGCUCAACUGAGGCAUUGCGCUUGAAACUGAAUUGCUAGAGUAUCCCAGGGGUGUGCGGAACUGCCAGUGGAACGGUGAAAUGUGUUGAUAUUGGCAGGAACACCGGAGGCGAAAGCGGCACACUGGGGGAUAACUGACGCUGAGGCACGAAAGCCAAGGGAGCGAACGGGAUUAGAUACCCGCGUAGUCCCUGAGCGGGCUGGCAAGGCGCAU